GACAGGAGCCUAUGUUUCAACCCUCCCCAUUUUAUCGAUAUCGAUAAGAAUCGUAAGCGUGUAGCGUACUACACUAUUUAAAUCGCUUAUGUUGGUACUAUGGUUCUUUGACAGUUCUUUGUCGUACAUUUUGGUAAAGAUUUGCGAAACAAACUGAUUCCACUCGCUAGUAUGGAAGUCUCGUCUCUUAAAACGUAGUGAUUAUAUGCUCUUUGAUAAUGACAUGCAGUUGCGUCGAUGUAGAUCUAUCAUAAAACGUACAUGUGACGCAUGUGACAAUUGUCCAGGAUGAAAGAACUAUCUUGACAAUUAACAUACAGCAAUACAAUACCACAAAAUGUCAACAAGAAAACAGAUUUAUUAUAAAAAUACAAAUUAUAUACAAAGCUUCAUUUUAAAACCAAUGGUCGUGGGUUCUAACCCCGGCUCUUAACAAUGUGCAUCUUGUAACAUGUACCGAUUGCUUUUCAGUAAAGUAAAAUAUAUUAUCAUGAGGAAGAUGGAGUAGCCCCAAUAAGAUGUCGAACUACCAGCAAAGUUUUUGAAGAGGUGUAGUUUUUAUAUUUCCUGGUACCAAACUGAUACAGGAAAUUGGAACAUCAGUAAAUAAUCUACACCGAAGACAAUGAAAUAUAGUCACAUAAUACUUUAAUGUUUUAUUUUAUUAAAGAAAUCGGUAAAAAAAUGUGUUAACUGAAAAAGAUAAA